rnacentral:rRNA from 1 species
GAUGAACGCUGGCGGCGUGCCUAAUACAUGCCAGUCUAGCGAACGGACGAGAAGCUUGCUUCUCUGAUGUUAGCGGCGGACGGGUGAGUAACACGUGGAUAACCUACCUAUAAGACUGGGAUAACUUCGGGAAACCGGAGCUAAUACCGGAUAAUAUUUUGAACCGCAUGGUUCAAAAGUGAAAGACGGUCUUGCUGUCACUUAUAGAUGGAUCCGCGCUGCAUUAGCUAGUUGGUAAGGUAACGGCUUACCAAGGCAACGAUGCAUAGCCGACCUGAGAGGGUGAUCGGCCACACUGGAACUGAGACACGGUCCAGACUCCUACGGGAGGCAGCAGUAGGGAAUCUUCCGCAAUGGGCGAAAGCCUGACGGAGCAACGCCGCGUGAGUGAUGAAGGUCUUCGGAUCGUAAAACUCUGUUAUUAGGGAAGAACAUAUGUGUAAGUAACUGUGCACAUCUUGACGGUACCUAAUCAGAAAGCCACGGCUAACUACGUG